rnacentral:rRNA from 1 species
UACAGAGGGUGCGAGCGUUGUCCGGAAUCACUGGGCGUAAAGGGCGCGUAGGCGGCUUGAUAAGCGUGCGGUGAAAAGCCCGGGGCUCAACCCGGGUCGGCCGUGCGAACUGUCGAGCUGGAGCACUGUAGAGGCAGGUGGAAUUCCUGGUGUAGCGGUGAAAUGCGCAGAUAUCAGGAAGAACACCCGUGGCGAAGGCGGCUCUCUGGGACGGUACUGACGCUGAGACGCGAAAGCGUGGGGGAGCGAAACAGG